UUCAACAUUUGAACCCCAUAGA
rnacentral:miRNA from 1 species